AUUGAACGCUGGCGGCGUGCCUUACACAUGCAAGUCGAACGGCAGCACGGGAGCUUGCUCCUGGUGGCGAGUGGCGAACGGGUGAGUAAAGCAUCGGAACGUGCCCUGAAGUGGGGGAUAACGUAGCGAAAGUUACGCUAAUACCGCAUAUUCUGUGAGCAGGAAAGCAGGGGAUCUUCGGACCUUGUGCUUUAGGAGCGGCCGAUGUCGGAUUAGCGAGUUGGUGAGGUAAAGGCUCACCAAGGCGACGAUCCGUAGCGGGUCUGAGAGGAUGAGCCGCCACACUGGGACUGAGACACGGCCCAGACUCCUGCGGGAGGCAGCAGUGGGGAAUUUUGGACAAUGGGCGCAAGCCUGAUCCAGCCAUGCCGCGUGAGUGAAGAAGGCCUUCGGGUUGUAAAGCUCUUUCGGCGGGGAAGAAAUUGCACUCUCUAAUACAGGGUGUAGAUGACGGUACCCGCAUAAGAAGCACCGGCUAACUACGUGCCAGCAGCCGCCGUAAGAC
rnacentral:rRNA from 1 species